CCUACGGGAGGCAGCAGUGAGGAAUAUUGGUCAAUGGGCGCGAGCCUGAACCAGCCAAGUAGCGUGAAGGAUGACUGCCCUACGGGUUGUAAACUUCUUUUAUAAAGGAAUAAAGUGAGGCACGUGUGCCUUAUUGUAUGUACUUUAUGAAUAAGGAUCGGCUAACUCCGUGCCAGCAGCCGCGGUAAUACGGAGGAUCCGAGCGUUAUCCGGAUUUAUUGGGUUUAAAGGGAGCGUAGAUGGGUUGUUAAGUCAGUUGUGAAAGUUUGCGGCUCAACCGUAAAAUUGCAAUUGAUACUGGCAGUCUUGAGUACAGUUGAGGUAGGCGGAAUUCGUGGUGUAGCGGUGAAAUGCUUAGAUAUCACGAAGAACUCUGAUUGCGGAGGCAGCUUACUAAACUGCCACUGACAUUGAUGCUCGAAAGUGUGGGUAUCAAACAGGAUUAGAUACCCCAGUAGUC
rnacentral:rRNA from 1 species